UCAUAAAUUCUUAAUCUAUCAGGUACCAUUGUACAAAUUCCCAUAUUAUUAAGGGUGGGUUUCAUUUCUAACCACCUAAUCUGGUUAGGGAUUGUUAGACCCGUUGGUAUAACCCUAACCUGUUGUCUAAAAUACGGAAAGAUCGCCGGCACCGCCAUCUCCGUUGCAGUAUCGUCCAUAGUCUCCGUUUUUUACCAUGGAAGCAUUCAAACAACUCCAAGCCCGCUUCAUUAUCCUCGCCCAUUGUCAUCUCCCGCAUUCCGCUCUCCGUCCCAUCAUCUCCUUCUCAUCACUCCAUCCAACCGACGACCUCCACUACGCAAUCCUUAUCCUCCUCUCUGUCCCCAUCCCACUCAUUUCCACGUGUGAUCUUCGUUUCAGACUUUCAGGCCACUGGCUUAACAGCUCUUUCAGUCGGUGAUCUACCAAUUGCAGAUCUUUUGGAACUUCAUAAAAUGAGAUUCUGAUUUCUGAAAGAAGGGAUUAGAAGAAGAUGAAGAAGAAGAAACCCAUACCUGUGUUGUGCAAUCUUUGAUCAGAGAGACAAGAUCGAGGAAAGAUUCGGAGAUCGUUGGGAGGACGAUGGGUUUUGGGGGUUUUUUGUCCAAAAAAAUCUACCCGUUUUUAUUUUAUUUUAUGACAAUGACAUUUUCGAAAAUUUGAUUUAAUUAUAA
rnacentral:lncRNA from 1 species